AUUGAACGCUGGCGGUAGGCUUAACACAUGCAAGUCGAGCGGAAACGAUCCUAGCUUGCUAGGAGGCGUCGAGCGGCGGACGGGUGAGUAACGCGUAGGAGCUUACCCAGUAGUUGGGGAUAGCCCGGAGAAAUCCGGAUUAAUACCGAAUAAUCUCUAAGGAGGAAAGUGGGCUUCGGCUCACGCUACUGGAUGGGCCUGCGUAAGAUUAGCUAGUUGGUGUGGUAAAGGCGCACCAAGGCGACGAUCUUUAGCUGGUCUGAGAGGAUGAUCAGCCACACUGGGACUGAGACACGGCCCAG
rnacentral:rRNA from 1 species